UGCCAGCCCCUGGAUGCCAGGUGUUGUACUGUACUACUGUACUUUUCAAGAGUGGCUGCACCAUGUUGCACUUCCAUCAGCCAUGAAUGAGCGUUCCUGUUGCUCCACAUCCUCACCAGCAUUUGGUGUUGUCAGUGUUCUGGAUUUGGACACUUUUAACAGGUCCUUUUGCCCCUGAGAUUUCUCUGGAUGCUCUACGAUUGGAGGUGGUUGGGGACAACUUGGAUAUUAGAAAUUACAGAGAAACUUCAUCACAAGAAAUUUGUGGCAACAUCUCUGAUACGUGGUAAUCAAGACAACUGGGUUUCACUGAUUCUAAUCUACUGUGGAAUGGCUACAACUGGACAGCAAAUGAGAAUAAAGGGAAAAGAUGGACCCACCCCUGAAUUGCUGAAAGAUGAAGAACUUCUGUAUCUCUUGCUAUAGCAUCAGAAUCACUUGCCAGCUCGUUAGAAAUGUGGAUUUUUGAGACUCAUCCCAGAUCGAAUGAAUCAGAACCUUUGUGGGCAGAGCCCCAAAGUCUACAUUUUAAACAAGAUCCUCAGUACGCGGGCCUCUCACUGCUGUGGCCUCCCCCAUUGCGGAGCACAGGC